AUGAGACAUAGUGAUACGCUUCAAAUACCUAACUUUUGCCUGGACUGCCCUUUCGGGUUUUCAGUCCACCGGGAUACCCUUUUUUGGCCAAGUCGCCUUUUCAGGUUUUCGACUUGCUGGGUGUACAAUUUUUUUUGUUUUUUAUUCUUAAUUUUUGCCCGAACCUGUAGUGGUGAAAAUCAGAGAUCAAGCUAUUAA